GGAGUAGACCAGAUUGUGGAGUUACACUCCAAAACUGACUUACUUGACACACUCCCCAAAUACCUGAGUGCUGGACAUUUUAUACUGUCCCUUUGUUUCUCCAGACCUGUUUCCUGGAAACCAUAAGACAUUGUAUAAACAGUCAUACAACUAGGUGUUGCGGUGGCAACAGUAACUGUCUACUAUGGAAUAGGGCCCUGUAUGGGAUGAUUUUCUGUAUUUAUUUUAAUUGAAAAUAAGCUUUAUUUUGUUUGGGGUUUUGUGCAGUUUCUACUCCUAGAUUCUCCCCAGACCCUGGGAUGAUUUUGGUCCAUGAGAUGAGUUCUGGGACUUGAAGAGGUUUGCUUGACCUCAUGGAAAGCCAGCCAGUUCAAGGGAGAAAUGGAGCAUGUGACUCUUGUUAGGAAGUUAGGAUGAAUCUUUAUUUCAUGGGGAAAUAGUGGGUAUCAUUUAAAAAUUCAAGUCUGCUUCUUUGGUAGGUAUCUUGGUAGUCUCCAGUCACAUAAACUGUAAUAUUUGAAAUUUGGAACACAUACAGGUUUCACCAGUUUAUUAGGCUCAGUUCUGACAUACGUCAUCUUGUAUGUAAGGUAACACGUCUGUGGUGUUCUUCCUCCUUUCCAAGAGUGUGUCAUGAAUUGUGGCAGUCUAGUUCAGUGAGCAGAACUGUGCUGGGUUGUACUGCUGUAUGCACUCACGUGACCCAUCAUGCAUUUUUCUCCCCUCACAGACAAACUUUCCAGAAAUGAUGAACAGAUAUAAGCAACUAUUGACCUAUAUUCGGAGUGCAGUCACCAGGAACUACUCUGAAAAGUCUAUUAACUCUAUCCUUGACUAUAUCUCCACUUCUAAACAGAAUUCUGAUUUUUUAUGUCAGAUGGAUUUACUGCAGGAAUUUUAUGAAACAACACUGGAAGCUUUGAAA
rnacentral:lncRNA from 1 species